UCCUAGCCCUGAUGGUAGCGGCAUCCUCGUAAUCCCGAAGCAUCGGGACUACGAGAUACAGCGUACAGCAGGAGGUUUC
rnacentral:sRNA from 1 species